AUCCAGCUGACGAGUCCCAAACAGGACGGAACACUGGUCCCGGAU
rnacentral:hammerhead_ribozyme from 1 species